rnacentral:rRNA from 1 species
AUUGAACGCUGGCGGCAUGCUUUACACAUGCAAGUCGAACGGCAGCGCGGGCUUCGGCCUGGCGGCGAGUGGCGAACGGGUGUGUAAUGCAUCGGAACGUGCCCAGUAGUGGGGGAUAGCCCGGCGAAAGCCGGAUUAAUACCGCAUACGACCUGAGGGUGAAAGCGGGGGACCGAAAGGCCUCGCGCUAUUGGAGCGGCCGAUGUCGGAUUAGCUAGUUGGUGGGGUAAAGGCUUACCAAGGCGACGAUCCGUAGCUAGUCUGAGAGGACGACCAGCCACACUGGGACUGAGACACGGCCCAGACUCCUACGGGAGGCAGCAGUGGGGAAUUUUGGACAAUGGGGGCAACCCUGAUCCAGCCAUGCCGCGUGCGGGAAGAAGGCCUUCGGGUUGUAAACCGCUUUUGUUCGGGAAGAAAUCCUCUGGGCUAAUACCCCGGGGGGAUGACGGUACCGGAAGAAUAAGCACCGGCUAACUACGUG